rnacentral:rRNA from 1 species
UACAGAGGGUGCAAACGUUGCUCGGAGUUACUGGGCGUAAAGCGCGUGUAGGCGGUGCCGCACGUCCGGUGUGAAAGCCCAGGGCUCAACCCUGGAAGUGCACUGGAUACGACGGCGCUGGAGUCCUGAAGAGGAGGGCGGAAUUCCCGGUGUAGAGGUGAAAUUCGUAGAUAUCGGGAGGAACACCAGUGGCGAAGGCGGCUCUCUGGACAGGUACUGACGCUGAGACGCGAAAGCGUGGGUAGCAAACAGGG